rnacentral:lncRNA from 1 species
GUAUUUGGAGCCUGUCUCCGUGCGAGCCUCUUUAGGAGAAGGAAUUCUCUGAUGUCUUCGUCUUGCUUCCAUUGUUCAUCCCUUGCUCUACUUCCUGCAUUCUGAUCGUACCAAGCAACAGUCAGCACACGAUAUGGUAGGAUAGCAACUGCCACCUCUUCCACUGAAACAAACAAAAUGAAAUAAAAUUAUUACAGAACACUUGUGUCAAAGGUUUCUGAACCACGCCUCCUUCCAAAGUUGUUUGUUUAGUUUCUGGUUUAUACACUAUAAAAAGUGCCGAAGGAUACUUGAAACUGUUUCUCAACCAAGAUGCCUAAUCCAAAACAAGUUUCAACUUUCAACUGCAUUUGGGCUUUUGGGAUGGCUUGUUCUUUCUGGAGUUUUGUGAAGUCCGGAUUUGGGUCUUGUUAAAGGUGGUGAUUGCGGGGAAACGCUGUAGAGCAUCAUGGCCGUGAGAUCGCACUCCACCUGAAUCUUUCUUUUCUUCGAGACAACCCUUGGCACGUGUUUUGGCACAAACUUUGCGAUGUCACCACCUUAGAUGUCGUGUGUAUAUUAUAUAUAUAUAUAUACACACACACACGUGUGUGUGUGUGUGUGUGUGUGAAAGCCGAAUACUUUCUUUUUCUUCUUUUUGUGCUUUUGCACGUUUUCUCUUCUUUUUACGUACCCCAAUUUAAGCGGCGGUUGGGAGAUGGGGCCGAGGAAGAGGAGAGUGGAUAACACACAGCGAUAAAAGAUUGCAUGUGAUGGAAGCAUUUGGGCUGGAUUGCUGCUGCAGUGACGAAUUUGCAUACCCAACCACAUGGACAAUCCAUCUCCUUCUAUUCAGUAAUUUUUCAGUACUCAACUAUUCGCAAGCGGGCUUUGUCGAUGGGCUUACAGGCACUUCACAUCCAAGGCUUCGUCUGCAAUAACGCUCGCAGGUUUGAUUUCAUGCUCUGAAAACAGUUUUUGCUUUUCAUUGUUGGCAAUUAGCGUUAUGUGAGCGCAUUCACCCUCGAUCUAGUGGAGAUGCCGGCAAGACCUAGGUUGUGGAGGUGAUUUUUCAUCAAAUAUCCUCUUAUCAAGGGUGAGCAAAUAAAUAGUUUGAUUUGUUAUAUUUAAAAAUCAAAUAAAUCAAAUAUUUUAAAAAAAAUAAGUCAAAAUCGAUUAAAUAUAAAUGAUCAAAUCCAUCAAAUAUAAAAUUAGUUUGAUCGAUUUGUUUUGUAUCAAUAGAUCAAAAUUUUAUCACUAUUUUUUUAUAAAUUAUAAUAUUAAAAUUUAAAAACUUUAUUUAUAUAAAAUAUAUAAAUUAUGUAUAAAUUAAAUAUAUGUAUGAAUAUAAUAUAUUACUUUAUUAUAUAUAUGAAAUUAAUGACACAAUUUAUAUGUUAUAAUAUUUUAAGUUUUAUAUCAAACUUUGUAUAAAUAAUAACUAAGUAUAAACAAUAUGUUAUAAAAAUUAAAAUGAUAACUAACAAAAUUAUUAAGUGUAAUCAUAUAAAUAAAAUUUAUUAUAAAUUACAGUAAUAUUUAUGUAUAAAUUAAAUAUAUAUAUUAUUUUAUUACGUAUAUAUGAAAUUAAUGGUACAACUUAUAUGAUAUAAUGUUUUAUAUCAAAAUUUGUAUAAAUAAUAACUAAUUAUAAACAAUAUGUUAUAAAAACUAUAAUGAUGAUUAAUAAGAUCAUUAAGUGUAAUCAUAUAAAUAAAGUUUAUUAUAAAUUAUAUAAAUACUUAUGCAUAAAUUAAAUAUAUAUAUAUAUAUAAUAUUUAUACUAUUAUAUAUUAUUCAUAACAUUUUAUAUUACAAAACAUUACUAAAAUAUAAUAAUUAUAACAUAUUAAUAUAUAUGAUAUUUACUAUCAUCUAUUAUAAUAUUAAUAUAUAAAUUAUAUCUUUUAAAAUAUAUAAUUUAUAAUUUCAUAUUAAUAUAGAUUUAUAAAUAAAUAAAUAUAUAAAAUUAAAAUUAAAUUAUUAUGAUUAUGAUUUGUAUACGUAUAUAUAAAAAAUUAAUAUAUUUUAAAUAUUUUAUUAAUUAAAUUUAUUAUCGAUUCUUUUUAAUAUAUAUAAAAAAUUAAUUUAAUUUUUUGAGUAGAUUGAUCUAAAAUUUUUAAAAUCAAAAACCGAUCAAAAAGCCAAUUGAAUCAAACAUUUUAAACCAAUUGAUUCCAUAGACUAAUUAAAUUAAAUCGUUUUAUCCAAAUCGCAUUUAAUUUGAGUAGAUAAUUAAUUUGAUUUGAUUUUACUCACCCUUACCUCUUCCGGUUCUCUCCUGCUAAUGCCAAUCUUUCUCCUAAUUCACUAUUUUUUAUUUAGGCAUGCUGAAUUUAUCUG